AGCCACAUCACAUUAAAACACCAGUUCCCUUACAAUCACCAAAGUUAAACAACAUUGAGCCUGGACAGUACUUAGAUGGGUGACCACUUGGGAAUAUCAGC